CUGGAGACAGGUGCUGCAUGGCGUGUCGUCAGCUCGUGUCGUGAGAUGUUGGGUUAAGUCCCGCAACGAGCGCAACCCUUGCCUUUAGUUGCCAGCAGUUCGGCUGGGCACUCUAAAGGGACUGCCGGUGUUAAACCGGAGGAAGGUGGGGAUGACGUCAAGUCCUCAUGGCCUUUAUGACCAGGGCUACACACGUACUACAAUGGCCGAUACAAAGGGCAGCGACACUGCGAGGUGAAGCCAAUCCCGUAAAAUCGGUCUCAGUCCGGAUUGGAGUCUGCAACUCGACUCCAUGAAGUUGGAAUCGCUAGUAAUCGUGGAUCAGCAUGCCACGGUGAAUACGUUCCCGGGCCUU
rnacentral:rRNA from 1 species